UGAAUACGAGAUGCUACGGCGUCGAAGCAGUCUAUGUCAUACUUCCAAGAAAAGCUUGCACUGUCAUAAACAAAUAAUGCCUGUACCAUAACCGACACAGGUGGGUAGGUAGAGUAUACUAAGGGGCGCGAGAUAACUCUCUCUAAGGAACUCGGCAAAAUGACUCCGUAACUUCGGGAGAAGGAGUGCCUUAUUUAUAAGGUUGCAAUAACAAGAUCCAAGCAACUGUUUACCAAAAACACAGGUCUCCGCUAAGUCGUAAGACGAUGUAUGGGGGCUGACGCCUGCCCAGUGCCAGAAGGUUAAAGAAGUUGGUUAGCAUCCGCGAAGCUGAUAACUGAAGCCCUGGUGAACGGCGGCCGUAACAAUAACGGUCCUAAGGUAGCGAAAUUCCUUGUCGGGUAGGUUCCGACCCGCACGAAAGGCGUAAUGAUUUGGAUACUGUCUCGGAGAGGGGCUCGGUGAAAUAGACUUGUCUGUGAAGAUGCGGACUACCUGCACCAGGACAGAAAGACCCUAUGAAGCUUUACUGUAACCUGAAAUUGAAAUUGGACUUUACUUGCGCAGUAUAGGUGGGAGGCGUUGAGAAUAUUCUUGCGGGAUUAUUGGAGCCAUCAGUGAGAUACCACUCUUGUAAUGUUAGAUUUCUAACUUUGUAUCAUUAUCUGGUCAAAGAACAGUUUCAGGCGGGCAGUUUGACUGGGGCGGUCGCCUCCUAAACGGUAACGGAGGCGCACAAAGGUUUCCUCUGAACGGGUAGAAAUCGUAUCUAGAGUGUAAAGGCAUAAGGAAGCUUGACUGUGAGACCUACAAGUCGAGCAGGGACGAAAGUCGGUCUUAGUGAUCUGACGGUGCUGAGUGGAAAGGCCGUCACUCAACGGAUAAAAGUUACUCUAAGGAUAACAGGCUGAUCUCCCCCAAGAGUUCACAUCGACGGGGAGGUUUGGCACCUCGAUGUCGGCUCAUCGCAUCCUGGGGCGGUAGUACGUCCCAAGGGUUGGGCUGUUCGCCCAUGAAAGCGGUACGCGAGCUGGGUUCAGAACGUCGUGAGACAGUUCGGUCCAUAUCCGGUGUAGGCGUUAGAAUAUUGAGAGGAGCCUUCUUUAGUACGAGAGGACCGAGAAGGACAUACCUCUGGUGUACCAGUUAUCGUGCCAACGGUAAACGCUGGGUAGCUAUGUGUGGAGUGGAUAACCGCUGAAAGCAUCUAAGUGGGAAGCCCACCUCAAGAUAAGUAUUCUU
rnacentral:rRNA from 1 species